rnacentral:lncRNA from 1 species
UUUCCACAGUGACUGCUUGCCAUAGUUUGGAUUCCCCAGAAGCAAAUCCUUAGAAAAGGAUUCAAGUGCAAGUGGUUUAUUCAGGAGGUCAUCCCAGUAAAUACCAGUAGGGGAGUACAUAAAUGAGACAGAGGAAAAAAGGAAGCCAUAAAGGGGUGCCAACAAGCAAGUGGACAACUGCAGCUCAAUUCCUCCAGGGAACUCUGGGAAAUAGUACAGAACACCUCAGAGUUACCCUACCUGAGGGUGGGGGAGCUGGGGUAUUUAUCCACUGCCUCCCACCAGUCCUUGUCUAAGGGCUGCUGGGGGUGGGUGGUUAAUUCCCCAUGGGCAGGAAGGAGGAAUGUGAUCCUGGCCUGGCCAGAAUACAUCCAGCCAGCUAGCUUCAGCGAUUGAUUCAAAGGGAAAAAAGAAGAACUAGACAAGGAUCCACUCAGAUUUGCACAGGCUGAUUCUCUCAUGUGAUUUUGAUUAAAGGACAAAAUUGGUUUGUUGGGGAGGUUCAAUUCAUUUAGAGUAAAAACAGGGAACAUUUUCAUUAUUCCCAGUCACUGUUUUCAACUGCGGUCUAAUAAAGUCCCCUCCUCACUGGGUGGCCAUGUAUCUUAAGGAUACUUCAGCCUGAUUCUUUAGCUUUUUGUCAUUUUCAGUAAUUAAAAGUCAAUUUCAGUUUUUAAGACUCAGCCUUAAAAAAUUUUAACCUUUUGUUGGAUUUAAAGCUCUUCUCUUCCC